GACGAACGCUGGCGGCGUGCUUAACACAUGCAAGUCGAACGGAAAGGCCCUGCUUUUGUGGGGUGCUCGAGUGGCGAACGGGUGAGUAACACGUGAGUAACCUGCCCUUGACUUUGGGAUAACUUCAGGAAACUGGGGCUAAUACCGGAUAGGAGCUCCUGCUGCAUGGUGGGGGUUGGAAAGUUUCGGCGGUUGGGGAUGGACUCGCGGCUUAUCAGCUUGUUGGUGGGGUAGUGGCUUACCAAGGCUUUGACGGGUAGCCGGCCUGAGAGGGUGACCGGCCACAUUGGGACUGAGAUACGGACCAGACUCCUACGGGAGGCAGCAGUGGGGAAUAUUGCACAAUGGGCGGAAGCCUGAUGCAGCAACGCCGCGUGCGGGAUGACGGCCUUCGGGUUGUAAACCGCUUUCGCAUGUGACGAAGCGUGAGUGACGGUAAUGGGUAAAGAAGCACCGGCUAACUACGUG
rnacentral:rRNA from 1 species